rnacentral:misc_RNA from 1 species
UUUCCGUAGGUGAACCUGCGGAAGGAUCAUUAGUGAAUUUUAGGACUGCCGUCAGGCGUCCGAACCCCUCACUUUCUAACUCUGUGCAUUACGUUGGUCAACUUGGCGGAACGGAUUCUUAGAAUCUUAUUACAACGAGUUGAUGGCUUCACUUUUUUAAACAUCAGUCAAUGAAUGUCAUAAAAUACAAAACAAAAAAAAACUUUCAACAACGGAUCUCUUGGCUCUCGCAUCGAUGAAGAACGCAGC